AUUGAACGCUGGCGGAAUGCUUUACACAUGCAAGUCGAACGGUAGAGGGGGCAACCCUUGAGAGUGGCGAACGGGUGAGUAAUAUAUCGGAACGUGCCCAGUCGUGGGGGAUAACGUAGCGAAAGUUACGCUAAUACCGCAUACGAUCUAAGGAUGAAAGCGGGGGACUCGCAAGAGCCUCGCGCGAUUGGAGCGGCCGAUAUCAGAUUAGGUAGUUGGUGGGGUAAAGGCUCACCAAGCCAACGAUCUGUAGCUGGUCUGAGAGGACGACCAGCCACACUGGAACUGAGACACGGUCCAGACUCCUACGGGAGGCAGCAGUGGGGAAUUUUGGACAAUGGACGCAAGUCUGAUCCAGCCAUUCCGCGUGCAGGAUGAAGGCCCUCGGGUUGUAAACUGCUUUUGUACGGAACGAAAAGGUUUCUAUUAAUACUAGGAGCUCAUGACGGUACCGUAAGAAUAAGCACCGGCUAACUACGUG
rnacentral:rRNA from 1 species